rnacentral:lncRNA from 1 species
AAUGUCAUAAUUCUUCAAUUACAAAUUGUUGUAUGAAGAAAUAAGAGUUGCUUUGAACAACCCUUAGCUAACGCAAACAUUAGUGCUUGUUUCUUUGUUACAUGAACAAGGAACUUGAGAAGUAAGCACAAGGGCAUGGACACUUUAUGUGCCAUGAUUCAUCACUUACAAAUUGUUGUAUGAAGAAAUGAGAGUUGCCUUGAACAACUCUUGAAAGUUUGU